AACGAACGCUGGCGGCAUGCCUAACACAUGCAAGUCGAACGAGACCUUCGGGUCUAGUGGCGCACGGGUGCGUAACGCGUGGGAACCUGCCCUUAGGUUCGGAAUAACUCCCCGAAAGGGGUGCUAAAACCGGAUAAUGUCUUCGGACCAAAGAUUUAUCGCCUUUGGAUGGGCCCGCGUUGGAUUAGCUAGUUGGUAGGGUAAAAGCCUACCAAGGCGACGAUCCAUAGCUGGUCUGAGAGGAUGAUCAGCCACACUGGGACUGAGACACGGCCCAGACUCCUACGGGAGGCAGCAGUGGGGAAUAUUGGACAAUGGGCGAAAGCCUGAUCCAGCAAUGCCGCGUGAGUGAUGAAGGCCUUAGGGUUGUAAAGCUCUUUUACCCGGGAUGAUAAUGACAGUACCGGGAGAAUAAGCUCCGGCUAACUCCGU
rnacentral:rRNA from 1 species